CGUGGAAAUAAGGAUGAAAAUGAAAAAAAUUGAAAUGUAGGGAUGUUUUUCACAAGAAGUGUCAAACAUAGAGACGUUUUAGCUAUUAGACCUUAUUAAAAUAUUAUUAAAAAAAAAAAAACUCUCUCCCUCUCUUCUCUUCUCCAAAUGAGACUGUCACGUUAGAAGUAGAAAAACUCCGACUAACUAUCGUUCAAACCGCAGAACCUCCAUACUGUUGAACUCAUGAAGAGAGACGCCCCGAUUAGUAUAGUCGAUUGGUGUAUUGGAAAUGAAAUGGAUCUCUCCGAAACACGUGGUGCCGCCAGUAUUUGCAUGCGCUAGUUCGACAUUUUGGCUUGCAAUUUCGAACAAAUCUAUUGGCAUGAAAGUUUCAAGAUUGAAUAUUGGGUGGUAUGUGGAGGGAAGUGAGGGCUUCUUGGAGAUAUGGUUGUCCAGCAGUUUGGACGAUGGCUUACUAGAGUUUUUUGAUUUCUAAGGUGGUUAGCCCAUUUGGGGGGGAGGGGGGGGGAGAGAGAGAUUUUUUUAUUUAUUUUAUUUUUUUAUGGCCUAAUAACAUAAAACGUUCCUACGUUUGACACUUACUGUCGAAAACAUCUCUAUGUUUAUUUUUUUU
rnacentral:lncRNA from 1 species